rnacentral:lncRNA from 1 species
CAUAAAGUAACCACAAUGCACACACUGCGGGGGUGGUGGUGGUGGUAUUUCACUCUCUCAGGUUUCAUUGAUUCAAGAGAUUUUUGAACUGAGCUCCUUAAAAUAUCAAUGCUACAUAUUACUCCCCAGAUACAGAUGUAAAUCUUUAUAAUGGUACACUUCACAAGCAGCACUCUGGAGUCUUUUCUGAUUGGUAAUCACAGUGUUUCCUUAUUAAUACUGUAAAAAAUGUAAAAGGCAUAAACAUUUUGCAAUCUAUCUGUUCUUUCUGUGUGGGCAUACAUCAGGGGCUGCUUUAAGCAUUCCUAAUGGUUCACCCAUCACAUUUUUUAUGAGUUUAUAUGGGAAGAAAAUUGUACCAGAAAACUGAAUUCAAUGACUGCCAUUCUAUGAAUAAAUUCUGUUAUCUUUGAUACUCUGGGUAUAAUAAAAACAUACAAAAGUUAAAUUUCAGCAUCCUUGCUGAGUUAUGUCAACUAUUUUUAAUGUCGAUAAGACAGUGCUGUUUCAACCAAUGUCUUUUCCCUCCAAAAAAUACUGCUUGAUUUUCAGGUUAUGUUUUCAUUAAAACAACUUGUCUUUAACAGCAAGAUGCUGUGUAUGUUUGCUAAUUUAUGUAUACUACAAAGUCUGAUCAAAAUGAAGAGUUAUAAUUUUAAAACACGGAGCUCAGUAAGAAUCCAUUUAAACUUUGGAUGAAAGAUUAAAAUAAAAGUCAG